rnacentral:rRNA from 1 species
AUGUUCUGGCUUGUCCACAGAGACUUGAAACCACAUAAUGUCCUCUUGGAUCGUAACAUGAUCCCAAAGAUUGCUGAUUUUGGAUCAGCUAGAGCACUGAGUUCAGAUGUAGCAGAAGAGCUAACUAAUAUAUCAAUCAUCACAGGUUCCCACCAUUUUGCUUUCAGAUGUUCUAAUCUUACAGUUUUGAUAUCUUCUGUUUCACUUUUCAGUGGUUACAAAGCUCUGGAGUAUGCAUCUCGAGGAGUUUACUCGAUGAAGACAGAUGUGUUCAGCUUCGGUGUUUUGGUUCUGGUGAUUAUUAGUGGCCGAAAGAAUACCAUACUCGACAAGCGAGGGGAUACUGUUGGUGAUCUUGUACGAGAUGCCUGGCGCAUGUGGAAGGACCAAAGGUUGCAUGAGCUUGUGUAUCCGUUGUUAGGGGACGGAUAUGAAGUCGUUGAAGGAGAUGCGCUCAAGUGGACUGCUUUGUACCCAGGAAGAUCCAGCAGAUCGGCCCACCAUGACAGAUGUGGCUGCAAUGCUGAACUCUGA